rnacentral:lncRNA from 1 species
AAGAGGAUUGGAUCCUAGCCAUAACAUAAAUAUAAGGGUGGAACCAAAGUUUUAAUCAAAGAAGGUGAUGUUCAGUUGCUGCUUACGAUAGUUGAUACCCCAGGAUUUGGAGAUGCAGUGGAUAAUAGUAAUUGCUGGCAGCCUGUUAUCAAUUACAUUGAUAGUAAAUUUGAGGACUACCUAAAUGCAGAAUCACGAGUGAACAGAUGUCAGAUGCCUGGUAACAGGGUGCAGUGUUGUUUAUACUUCAUUGCUCCUUCAGGACAUGGACCAUUACAUAACUGAAGACUCCCACCUUCAGGCAGGAUUGGGUAGUACGUGUUUGUAACUACCUGGCAUUGCCUUUUGUUGAGGAAGGGUAGAUGUCUACCCAAAUGGAAUAUUGAGUAUCAGAGACUUCAAAUGAUAACUUUUGUUUGUUUGGAGAAAAUCUUGAGGACGUGAUCACUGUACAAAAGCAUGGCAAAAUGAGGAAACCACUGACAGGUGAAGAAUUUGCACAAUGGAAAACCACCUUGACCAUCUCAUGACUUUAUACAGGAAUCGGAGGUAAGUGUUCCUUUAAAGUGAUUUUGUCAUGAAAGAGUCAUCUGAAAUGACUCUCUUGAUGGAGGAAAGGAAAGUAAUGAAAUCAACAUUCAUGGUUAUUUAAAAUGCCUUAAAAGCUAAGCAUAAUAUACAUAGUAACUCCUUUUCCUAGUAUAAAAAUAGUGCCAGAAACUAUAUUUGUUCAAAUAUAUUGAAAAGGUAUAAGAAUACAAAUAGAUAUUAACAGUGGCUAGUGAUGCCUCAUAAGGUUUUCUUUUCUUAAACUGUAAUAUAAAUUUAUAUUUUCAACUAUUUACAUUGCUUUCAACAACAUUCAUUAAGACAUGUUUACACAGGCUUUUAGUAAGUAUAUGGAAUGGUAAAGUGAGCUUUAAUACUUUCUUCUUCACUCUCUGUAGUAGAGCAGAAGGGGUCCAAAACCAUGCACAAUUUAACAGUCCAGAAGAACUGUGUAAUCUUUACCUGGCUAGCACAUGGAAAAAAUAAACUAUAUACAAGAAUACAAAACUCCUAAAGUGUUCUUCAACUAUCAGCAGGUUAAGUGAUUCAUACUUGCAAAAAGACAGGAUGUUUUGUUCACUGGUAGAUUCUUAGUAAGUUUCAGGUAAAGAAGGUGCAUAAAAGAUAUGUUAUUGAUGAAAAUGGAAAUGAUGCAGUAUACCCCAUGUUCUCACAUUAAAUCGGCAGUAUCAGAAGCUAAGUCUCUUCUCUAGCACCUCCUUCAGGGACCGUGAGCUCCUUGGGGUCACUGCUCUGUCUCCACAGCAGAGCACGGUACCUAACAUGUGGCAGGACUCAAUAAAAGACAUCCAAGGCCAUUCCAUUUCUAGAUCACACUUAUCCCUCAAUCAAGUCAGUGACUGGAUCAUCUCCUAAGGUUUCACCUGCUUUGCAUCAGUGAGUUGGACUAUGGAUCAGGUACUGUGCUCAGCAUCAGAAAAUGGGAUGACAAUGAACAGAGUAACACGACUAUAUUUCUGAAAAAGGAUGAACUUACUGGAAACAGGAUUGCGUGCCUGAAAUAGACCCAAAUGGAUAUAAAUGUCAACUCAGUUCUGGGCUGGAGAUAUAGAUUUGGAAUGCACCAACAAUGCAGAUGGUAAUCCUGGCAUGCGAGUAGGGCUCAAGCACCUCUUACUGCCUCCUCACUCUGGAACCAAAUGCCUUACUGUCUGCACUGCUCCCCAUUGCCUUCCCUCCCGCCUCACCAGUUGAUCCCUAUACCUCC